rnacentral:rRNA from 1 species
GUCUACGGCCAUACCACCCUGAACGCGCCCGAUCUCGUCUGAUGUCGAAAGCUAAGCAGGGUCAGGCCUGGUUAGUACUUGGAUGGGAGAAUGGGGACCCCAUUGAGCACAGACUAAGUACUCAUGCCCAGUAGAUG